AUGAACGCUGGCGGCGUGCCUAAUACCUGCAAGUCGAGCGAACAGACGAGGAGCUUGCUCCUCUGACGUUAGCGGCGGACGGGUGAGUAACACGUGGAUAACCUACCUAUAAGACUGGGAUAACUUCGGGAAACCGGAGCUAAUACCGGAUAAUAUAUUGAACCGCAUGGUUCAAUAGUGAAAGACGGUUUUGCUGUCACUUAUAGAUGGAUCCGCGCCGCAUUAGCUAGUUGGUAAGGUAACGGCCUACCAAGGCGACGAUGCGUAGCCGACCUGAGAGGGUGAUCGGCCACACUGGAACUGAGACACGGUCCAGACUCCUACGGGAGGCAGCAGUAGGGAAUCUUCCGCAAUGGGCGAAAGCCUGACGGAGCAACGCCGCGUGAGUGAUGAAGGUCUUCGGAUCGUAAAACUCUGUUAUUAGGGAAGAACAAAUGUGUAAGUAACUAUGCACGUCUUGACGGUACCUAAUCAGAAAGCCACGGCUAACUACGUG
rnacentral:rRNA from 1 species